AAAAAAGAAAAAAUAAACUUUAAAGAAAAUAUGCAUAAAUAGAUAUUUCAUAAAAGAAACAAAAAAAGAAAUGAUAUCAAACAAAAUGAGAAAUAAGUGCAAUGAAAGAAAGAGAGAAAGAAAGCGCAACAUCUUGGAACAACACCACGUACAUGUGAAUAAAAUUGUGAAACCAAAAAAAAAAUUUAAAUAAAAAAUAAAAAACAUCAUAUAUCCCAGAAAGGGAAGAAAAUAAAACUGAAAGCCCCCCACAAAAAAAAAACUGACAACCAAAAAACAAAGGACAAAAUUGGGAACGAUUAAAAGAAAAAAGUGAAAUGAAGAAAAAAGAGAGAAAGGAAAAGACCACCGUAAGGAAAGAUUGGAAAAGAAAAGAAAGGAGAAAAAGAUCUAAAAAGACAAAGAAAAAAUGAUGUGAAAUUGCAGCAAAGGAACAUUCUUGAUUUUUUUUUUUUGCAAGAAACUCCUUAAGUCUGCAAGAGAAAAAUUUGGUAAUUGAGAGAGUUUUUCCCUGUAAGCUAUUUAUAGUUUAGAUUUUGGAUUAAGGCUUAAGGUGUUAAAAUAAAUUAAAUCUUCUUAAUAAUGGGUGCAGCAGGUUAACUAUAAAGAUAAAAAGAAAUUAAAAAAAAAAGUUUCAGUAAAUCUUGUGCGAAAAAUAUUAUUUAAAAUAAUAUAAAAAUAAUAAAAAAAAAAUGGUAAGAAUAAUGAUAAUGAUUUAAUAUAAGAAAAUGUUAACUAUUAUACUAAAAUAAUUUUUAAAAAAUUGAUUAAUGGUAAUGAUUUCCUCCAGCAGCUUUUUUGAUAUCGGUCAUGUGUAAUUUGUAACGUAUGUGUGUUGCGUGCGUAUGUAUGUAUAUAUAUAUAUAUAUAUACACACACACACACAUACAUAUAUACACACACAAACAUUGCUAGUAUUUUGGCACACACUGAUUUGGUGGAGUACUUAUGUAUGAUUCCUAGUUGAAAUAGCUUAAUUGAAAUUAGUGCUUUUCAGUGCAGUCCACUUUUACAUCUAUAAUACUACUUGAGAAAGGGAUGAAUGUUAGCUUGCCCUCAAAAAAAUAUCCUUGAGCAUCCUUGAGUAGAGGGGAGUCUACUAUUGCUAUAAUAAUAAUAAUGAUAAUAAUGAUUAUUAUUAUUAUUAUUUGUGCACCACUGAAGUAGCUCAGAUGGGAGAGAGAUUGAUAAUUUAAAGUUCCCUGGUUUAAUCCCCGUUUCCAAAGAUGUGCUUUAAUUCUCUUUUACGGCAUCAAGCUGGCAGAAUUCUUAGCACGCCAGA